CUGCACAACCCUCGGGGGAUGGAAGGAUGCGCACGCCUCAAGACCGAGUUGCCCCAGGGUACACAACUCAACCCUACCACCUCCAAAUAAUGGUCUCAAUGCUCGAUAUGCCUCCUGGGCAACGUAAAUGACGCACUAUGCGCCGACAGACGCAAAUCUGUACUGGGCCGCAUCGACAACACACUAUUGGACCUAGGAACGAC